GAGUUUGAUCGUGGCUCAGGACGAACGCUGGCGGCGUGCUUAACACAUGCAAGUCAAGGGGGCCCAGCAAUGGGCAACCGGCGAACGGGUGCGUAACACGUGAGCAACCUACCGAAAUGCGGGGGAUAGCCGGCCUAACGGCCGAGUAAUACCGCAUACGCUCUUUAUGAGGCAUUUCAUGGAGAGGAAACCUACGGGGUAUUUCGAGGGGCUCGCGGCCUAUCAGCUAGUUGGCGAGGUAACGGCUCACCAAGGGCAACGACGGUAGGGACUGGGUCUGAGAGGAUGGCCAGCCACAUUGGGACUGAGAUACGGCCCAGACUCCUACGGGAGGCAGCAGUGGGGAAUCUUGCGCAAUGGCCUAACGGCUGACGCAGCGACGCCGCGUGUGGGAUGAAGCUCCUCGGAGUGUAAACCACUGUUGCCCGGGACGAAUAGCUCGAUUAAUCGAGCCUGACGGUACCGGGUGAGGAAGCACCGGCUAACUCCGUGCCAGCAGCCGCAGU
rnacentral:rRNA from 1 species